GCGGGAGUGGCGAAAUUGGCAGACGCGCCAGACUUAGGAUCUGGUGCCGCAAGGCGUGUGGGUUCGAGUCCCUCCUCCCGCA
rnacentral:tRNA from 1 species